rnacentral:rRNA from 1 species
UUGGGAAUCUUCCACAAUGGACGAAAGUCUGAUGGAGCAACGCCGCGUGAGUGAAGAAGGGUUUCGGCUCGUAAAACUCUGUUGUUAAAGAAGAACAUAUCUGAGAGUAACUGUUCAGGUAUUGACGGUAUUUAACCAGAAAGCCACGGCUAACUACGUGCCAG